GCAUCCACACUAAUAUAUAUUUUAUAACAUUCACCCUUGGAUGCCCAUUAUCCAAAACAAUACAAUGUCUUAUAAUGCGCAUGAAUUCUGCCUCAUUAAAAACUUUAGCAAGAAAAUCCAGUGGGAAAAACCUUGGUUAAGGAAAAAUGAGUGCAACGCGCAUUUACUCCCCCUAAUGAUAACAUCAUUGAAGAUCUUUGAGAUGGCGCAAUCCAAUGAGGUGAAUCAACUUUUUAAAUGUAGCAGUUGAAGCGUCUUAGUAAUCAAAUCUACCAAAUUUUCGCUUGAACGAAUCUGCAAGACAUUUAUAUCGCUAUUCUUUUGAAGUUCAUGAGUGAAAAAGAAUUUUGGUGAGAUGUGCUUUGUUCUAUCACCUUUGAUGUAUUCUCCCUUGAGCUGUGCAAUACAUGAUGCAUCAUCCUCAUAUAAAAUUGUUGGUGCCUCUUUCCCAGAGGAUAAACCAAAAUGUUCUCUUACAUAAAAUUAAUAGGGAUCAAAUCCCUUACAUCAAGUCUCUCAUUGACCGAGUAUGACAUUAAGCUAACACUUGCUUAUAGAUAGAUCACACAAGGCAUUGUCAAUUGCCUUUUUAUAAUGGCACAAGGAAUUGAAAGGUUACUCGGAUCUUUCAACUUAGGUGACAUCUUGUAAUAAUGAUAGAACUACAAUUCUCGAUAAUGUUCACCGUUUCCUUUACCUUACAAUCCAUUUUCCUACUCAAGAUAUCGUCGAGAAACCAAGAAUAGGUGGUCAUUUGUUUGAUUACAUCGAUAAAAGAAAAGGUGAUAUGCAACUUAUUAACUUAAUAAGCAUUUUAAGAAAAUUUGCAAAUUGAUAAUCAAGUUUAUGCCUGUGAGGGGUCGUAAAACACGACGGGGCGCCUCUAAAAGAGUAUACGACCCGUACGACUUUUCCCCUCUGGAUGUGGCAAGCAUAUUAAGUAAAUAGGAACUAACUGUGGGCGUUAGCCUCUUUUUACUAGUCUGUAGGAGCUGUAAUCCCCCGUAAUUUUAUUAUAUUUUAUUUAUAUAUUUUAACGUAUAUUUAAUAUAUUUAAAUGUAAUUUACGAAUUUUAGAAAUGAAUAUGUAAUUAAAAUAUAAUUAUGUUAUUACAUUUUGAAUAUUUUAAAUGAUUUAUGAAAUCAAAAUUGAUUUUUGAAUUUUACGUUAAAACGAAUUCGGAUUUUGAAAUCACGUUCUAUUGAAAUUAGAAAGCAAAUCCUAACCAUUUCGGAUUCAGCAACCUAAAUUCUACUCCUAGCCCAAUUGGGCAAAGCCCAAACCAACAAAACCCCCAAAACCAUACUCCCUUCUCUUUUCUCAUUCACGUAAAACAAACCAAACCCUCCUCUCUCCCCUCCAUACUCACGUGAAACCAAAGAAAGAAAAAAAAAAGAAAAAAGAGGAAACUCCUUCCUCCAAUCUCACGCUCACCCUCAGCCGUCCUCUCUCCCUCCACGCCGUCGCCGAGCCGCCGCCGUCCAGCACUCCUCAGCCGCCGCCAGUACGCUGCACCGCGACCCAGGCCAGCCACCUCAGCCGGUCAAGCCUCGUCGUGAGCCACCACCUACCAGCCGGCCAAACCCCUCUCUCCUCUUUGGUUCUUGGCGGAGAAUUCUCUUUAUGCGACUUUUGAAAGUGUUAAAGUGGCCUAUCAGUUUGUUUACACAAGUCUCUAAGGAUCAAUAAGCGUUGCCCAUCUGCAGGUUUGAAGAUGAUGCAUCAUUGGGAUCGGGAUUAGAGAGCUUGUAGUUAUAUUUGCUUUAUUAAGUGAUUUGGUUUGUUAACUUAAAUUUGAAAUUGUCGUACUAUUCGUAUUUCCUUAUUUCAGUUAAUUGGUUUUGAACCUAAUAUGUAAUAAGAUUAUUUAUGAACCUACAAGUUAGUUUUAUGUUUUCCGCUGCAAAAUUCUGAAUAAGCCGUUACGUUUUCACACGGGCGAUAAUACUUUGAAAAUUCCCUACAGUUAUGUUUAAAAAGGGGUAUUUUAGAGAAUGGGAAUUGUCGGGGUGUUACAGGAGCCGCUAUUCAAUUUAAGAAAACUGAAAAAACCCGGUUAUCGUGAUA